CUAAAAGCCAGAAAGGUCUGACCGCCUCCGCCUCCGCGUACGUCCCCAACUCGGUCGAACGCCGCCGCUGCCGCCGCCGGGGCUCUCCACCGCGAUCCCAGAUGGCGGCGCGAAUCGCGAUCAUCAACGAGGAUAGGUGCAAGCCCAAGAAGUGCCGCCAGGAAUGCAGGAAGAGCUGCCCCGUCGUCAAGACCGGGAAGCGUUGUAUUGAAGUUACUCCGGCGUCCAAGUCCGCGUUCAUCUCUGAAGAGCUGUGCAUUGGUUGUGGUAUUUGCGUCAAGAAAUGCCCAUUUGGUGCCAUUCAGAUCAUCAACCUCCCAAAAGAUUUGGAUAAAGAUACCACCCAUCGCUAUGGCCCAAAUACCUUCAAAUUGCACAGGUUGCCUGUUCCGAGACCUGGCCAGGUUUUGGGCCUUGUUGGAGCCAAUGGAAUUGGAAAGUCGACAGCUCUUAAGGUGUUAUGUGGCAAGUUGAAACCUAAUUUGGGGAAAUUCGAUAAUCCGCCUGACUGGCAGGAAAUCCUUACAUACUUCCGGGGGUCUGAACUUCAGAAUUACUUUACGCGUCUGUUGGAGGAUAAUCUCAAGGCAAUCAUAAAGCGUCAAGACGUUGAAAGCAUUCCGAAAGCAGUUCAAGGGAAUGUCGGUCAACUACUUGACAAGUUAGACCAGAGGGGUGUUAAAGCUCAAUUGUGCAUUGACCUUGAAUUGAACCAAGUUCUGGACCGGAAUGUAGAAGAUCUUUCCGGUGGUGAGCUGCAGAGAUUUGCCAUAGCAGGCACUGCUGCACAAAGUGCAGACAUUUACAUGUUUGACGAACCAUCAGUUUACCUUGAUGUCAAGCAGAGGCUUAAAGCUGCACAAGUCAUUAGGUCCUUGCUUAGAGCAAACAGCUAUGUAAUCGUUGUGGAACAUGAUUUGAGUGUCUUGGAUUACAUGUCCGAUUUUAUUUGCUGUUCGUAUGGGAAACCAGGAGCAUUUGGUGUAGUUACGCUGCCAUUUUCAGUCCGAGAAGGUAUCAAUGUUUUCCUGGCUGGAUUUGUUCCAACAGAAAAUCUUCGGUUUCGAGAUGAAGCACUUACAUUUAAGAUUGUUGAGGCCCAGGAAAAUGCUGAAGAGAUUGAGACAUACCAGCGGUACAAGUACCCUACCAUGAGCAAAACAAUUGGAAAUUUCAAGCUCACUGUCAUGGAAGGUGAAUUCACUGAUUCUCAGAUUGUUGUGAUGCUUGGUGAGAACGGGACAGGGAAAACUACGUUCAUCAAAAUGCUGGCUGGGCGGCUGAAGCCAGAUACUGUGGAAGGAGCUGAGAUUGAAAUUCCUAAAUUUUAUGUGUCCCACAAGCCUCAGCAGCUUGAAACAAAAUUCCAGGGCACAGUGAGUCAAUUGCUUCAUCAGAAAAUACCAGAAUCAUGUACUCAUCCUCAAUUUAGGUCUGAUGUCAUUAAACCACUACAAAUUGAGCAACUCAUGGACCGGGUAGUUACAAAUUUAUCAGGUGGAGAACGCCAAAGAGUGGCAUUAUGUCUUUGCCUUGGAAAGCCUGCAGAUAUUUAUCUGAUCGAUGAACCAAGUGCAUCUCUUGAUUCAGAGCAGCGCAUUGUUGCCUCAAAGGUUAUCAAAAGAUUCAUCUUUCAUGCAAAGAAAACCGCAUUUGUUGUUGAGCAUGACUUCAUCAUGGCAACCUACUUAGCUGACAAGGUUAUUGUUUACGAGGGACGGCCUUCUGUAGACUGUACUGCUAAUGCACCUCAGACUCUACUCUCUGGGAUGAAUAAAUUCCUAUCACAACUUGACAUCACGUUCAGAAGAGACCCAACCAACUAUAGGCCGCGGAUAAACAAGCUGGACUCUACGAAAGACAAAGAACAAAAGUCUGUAGGGUCCUACUACUACCUGUGAUAUAGGCAUCACGGUUGAUACUUUGGAACCGUUGCAACUGCAACACACUCUGCCUGGGCUGCUUCUUGUUGGAGAAGAAACUGAACUGGAUUUGUCCAAGGGGGAGGCGAGACACGGCAAGGGAGCGACGACUGGAACGUCUGGAGGAGCAAGACAACAUGGGGGACGUCGGAGCAAGGAGACAUGCCAACGCCGCCAGCAGGCGCAACAUGUUAACCUCCCAUGGAAUCUGGUGAAGGAAUGCAGAGAAAGGGAAGCAGGAAGUGCUGCAAGGUUGGAUCGGAUCAAGGAGCCUGCGCCAGAAGAAGUAAUCCCAACCUUUGGAACCCCUCCUGAACCUGGAGUGCUCUGUCGGACUUCGCCCACAGUCAUUGCAGGACGCUGUGAGAUGAAGCAACACGUUUGAUGGUGUCGAAGCCUCGGCACCGAGCUGAGAACUGCUUGGGCUUUUCUCUGAAGAAGAAUUGGGUGUUGCUUGAACUUAUGAAACUACUGUGUUUUCUGUAAUAGGGUUGUACCAGGUUUUUUGCCCCAUAGCUUGUAUUCAGGUAUGGAAUACAAGCAGUGGGUUUUCCUGGUGAACAUUGAACCCGCAAUCUUCCUACCAUUUUCAAAAAAAGUCGUAUAAGAAUUUGCCGGGGGGCAAGGUUUGCCUCUUAUAAUCC